rnacentral:rRNA from 1 species
UACGAAGGGGGCUAGCGUUGCUCGGAAUUACUGGGCGUAAAGCGCACGUAGGCGGUUUCUUAAGUCGGGGGUGAAAUCCUGGAGCCCAACUCCAGAACUGCCUUCGAUACUGAGAGACUUGAGUUCGGGAGAGGUGAGUGGAACUGCGAGUGUAGAGGUGAAAUUCGUAGAUAUUCGCAAGAACACCAGUGGCGAAGGCGGCUCACUGGCCCGAUACUGACGCUGAGGUGCGAAAGCGUGGGGAGCGAACAGG